CCUUUCAGCUAAAAUUGCCAACAAUGGGAAUUAGUGUCAUAGUGGUUUUCUGUGAUGUAGCUCCUAGCCACUGGACUGAGCCCAGCAAAUCCCUUCACACAGGCCCACUAAGCAACUGCUGUCAGAGAGCCACAACAUUCAAUCCCUCCUGGCCUGGUGCAGAUUCAAACCAAUGAUGUAGAGGUGAAAGGCUCCAAAUCCUGUUACCAGCACCCUUCCCCUUCCGAUCCCCGUCAUCAACACAACCACACAAUUAGCAUAAAAUUGAGAGUAACCUCCCUCAGUCGUGAAACAGAAAGCAUGCGGACUUGGUUGACAUCUCUAACAUGGUAACCUGAGGUUUUGCUUCUCCUUCUAGCUUGAACGCUGGUUGAGACAAUGGAGAAGUAUGAGCAAAUACUAACCAUAGGCAGGGGAUCAAGUGCUGAGGUCUUCCUGAUGAGGAACACAGAGACAAAGAAACUGUUUGCUGGGAAAAAAAUCAAGACAGAUCCAUCAAAGAAAAUGAGAACCAAAGAGGCAGUGCUUCAGGAGGUGACCAUCCUGGGCAAACUCAAGCACCCCCACAUUGUAACCUGCCAUGAGCACUUCUUUGAGGAGGAACAUAUGUUCAUCAUCCAGGAUUACUGUGAUGGUGGCUCCCUGGAUGACCACAUUAAGAUGAGGAAGGAGGGGUACUUUCCCGAGAACACAGUCAUGGAAUGGUUUGUGCAACUAGCUAUGGCUGUUCAGUACAUCCAUUCCAUAAAGAUCCUGCAUCGAGAUAUCAAAACAUCCAAUGUGUUUCUCACUAAGAAAGGGAUGGUGAAACUGGGGGACUUUGGCAUUUCGAAGGUCAUGAACAGCACCCUGGACAUGGCAAGCACUUUUGUAGGCACACCCUAUUACUUGAGCCCAGAGCUCUGCGAGGAUGUGCCGUACAGCUCCAAGUCGGACAUCUGGGCGCUGGGAUGUGUUCUCUUUGAAAUGUGUGUCUUAAAGCCACCCUUUGAUGGAAUAAAUCUGGUCAGCUUGUUUUACAAGAUUGUGAAAGGCGAGUAUGCUGCUGUGCCAGAGUGCUAUUCUGAGCCCCUGCAUGGCUUGAUCCAAACCAUCCUGGAGAAGUGCCCAGGAAAGAGACCCAGUGCCAGCAGCAUCCUCAACAUCCUUUAUGUCCAGCAACACCUCAAGCUUUUCCUUCUUCACCAAGAAUCCCAGCUCUUCAAGCAGCACCAUCUGGCAAAGCUCCAUGAGGCGGACAACACAGAUCCCCUCCCACCCACACCUCAAAGUAAGACACUGUUAGCUCACCAAGUGAGGGGAGCCUUAAGGCCAAAGUCAGCUCCACCGUAUGUCAGCACACACAGUCCAGAGCUUUAUGAGCCAGAGGAGCUCUCCAGCAUUCUAGGCAGCAGCUCAGAUUACUCUGAAGACUUUGAGCAUGAAAGCGUGUCUUCCACUGAGGAGAACUUAGAAGAUGACAUACCCAUUCCACCUCUGAUCAAGGAGGUGCCAAGAGAGAUAGACCAGUGCAGCUCUCCUGACAGACUAUUACCCUCCAGCCCUCUGAUCACAGAGUUACAAGAGUGGACGGAUGAGGCGGAGCUGACCGAUUACCCUGAUGAUUUUGAGGAGGUUGAGGAGACCAGCCUGGAGGAGGUGGUGAGCAAUGCUCGCUGCGCGAUCAAGGUGCCAGCUGACAAUGAGGCAUUCCAGGAGGAACAGAUGGAUCACCAAGGGUCUGCUGCUCUCUCCUCCACCCUGAAGACUUUGCAGGAGACAUGCAAAGCUGGGGAAACUGACGCCAAAAAGUCAUGUGACACACCCCAAACUGCACAGUGCAUCAGGGCAAAGCUGAGACUAGACUGCAGCCUGGCUAAUUCCUUCCCAUCAUCCUGAUGUGGCAUCAGCCGUCCCUGCCAUACUAAGUGCAAGUACUGUAGACAUCUAUCUACCAGAAAGUGGCAUGAGAUCUAGAAAUACUACUGAAUGGCCAAUGGGCAGUGUCAGCCUUCAGUCCCUAGUCAGCUGGGCUAGGUUUGAACAAGUGAGGUGAGGCUGGACCUUCUCUGUAUGAUGAAAUCACAGGUCAGGCCCAGUUCACCCCUGAGGAUCUGCAGCCUCAUUUUGAACAUCGAAUGGGCCCUGACCACCUGGAGACCUGCUAUCUGCUCCUCAGCUUGGACCAGGAAAC